GAUGAACGCUAGCGGAAGGCAUAAUACAUGCAAGUCGAACGGAUGUAGCAAUACAUUAGUGGCGCACGGGUGCGUAACGCGUAUGCAACCUACCUUCAUCAGGGGGAUAACUGCCCGAAAGGGUGGCUAACACCGCAUAAUACUACUGAAUGGCAUCCUUUGGUAUUUAAAUCUGAGGAGGAUGAAGAUGGGCAUGCGUCUGAUUAGCUAGUUGGUGUGGUAACGGCGCACCAAGGCGACGAUCAGUAGGGGAACUGAGAGGUUGGUCCCCCACACUGGCACUGAGAUACGGGCCAGACUCCUACGGGAGGCAGCAGUAGGGAAUAUUGGUCAAUGGUGGGAACACUGAACCAGCCAUUCCGCGUGCAGGAAGAAGGGUCUCUGACUUGUAAACUGCUUUAGCAAGGGAAGAAAAAGCUCAUGCGUGAGAAAUUGACGGUACCUUGAGAAUAAGCACCGGCUAACUACGUGCCAGCAGCCGCGGUAACAC
rnacentral:rRNA from 1 species